UACGUAGGUGACCAGCUUUGUCCGGAUUUACUGGGCGUAAAGAGCGCGCAGGCGGUCGUUUAAGUCGAGUGUGAAAGCCCCCGGCUCAACUGGGGAGGGUCACUCGAUACUGAUCGACUUGAAGGCAGGAGAGGGAAGCGGAAUUCCCGGUGUAGUGGUGAAAUGCGUAGAUAUCGGGAGGAACACCAGUGGCGAAGGCGGCUUCCUGGCCUGUUCUUGACGCUGAGGCGCGAAAGCUAGGGGAGCAAACGGG
rnacentral:rRNA from 1 species